rnacentral:rRNA from 1 species
CCUGGCUCAGAUUGAACGCUGGCGGCAUGCCUUACACAUGCAAGUCGAACGGCAGCGGACCUUCGGGUGCCGGCGAGUGGCGAACGGGUGAGUAAUAUAUCGGAACGUACCUUUCAGUGGGGGAUAACGUAGCGAAAGUUACGCUAAUACCGCAUAUUCUGUGAGCAGGAAAGCAGGGGAUCGCAAGACCUUGCGCUGAUUGAGCGGCCGAUAUCAGAUUAGCUAGUUGGUGAGGUAAAGGCUCACCAAGGCGACGAUCUGUAGCGGGUCUGAGAGGAUGAUCCGCCACACUGGGACUGAGACACGGCCCAGACUCCUACGGGAGGCAGCAGUGGGGAAUUUUGGACAAUGGGCGCAAGCCUGAUCCAGCAAUGCCGCGUGAGUGAAGAAGGCCUUCGGGUUGUAAAGCUCUUUCAGCAGGAACGAAACGGUGGUCCCUAAUACGGACUACUAAUGACGGUACCUGAAGAAGAAGCACCGGCUAACUACGUG